GGAGGGAACCUCUAGAGCUCCAGGACAUUCAGGUACCAGGUAGCCCCAAGGAGGAGCUGCCGACCUGGCAGGGAACAACCAAGACUGGGGUUAAAUCUCACAGCCUGCAAGUGGAAGAGAAGAACUUGAACCCAGGUCCAACUUUUGCGCCACAGCAGGCUGCCUCUUGGUCCUGACAGGAAGUCACAACUUGGGUCUGAGUACUGAUCCCUGGCUAUUUUUUGGCUGUGUUACCUUGGACAAGUCACUUAUUCCUCCUCCCGUUUCCUCCUAUGUAAAAUGGAAAUAAUAAUGUUGACCCUGGGUCUGAGAGAGUGGAUUUGAAAGUACUUAGUGCAUCACAAAGCACAGAACACACUUCCAGUCUCG
rnacentral:lncRNA from 10 species